GAUGAACGCUGGCGGCGUGCUUAACACAUGCAAGUCGAACGAUGAAAGCGGGAGCUUGCUCCUGCUGGAUUAGUGGCGAACGGGUGAGUAACACGUGAGUAACCUGCCCUUGACUCUGGGAUAAGCGUUGGAAACGACGUCUAAUACCGGAUACGAGCUUCAGUCGCAUGACUAGGAGCUGGAAAGAAUUUUGGUCAAGGAUGGACUCGCGGCCUAUCAGCUAGUUGGUGAGGUAAUGGCUCACCAAGGCGACGACGGGUAGCCGGCCUGAGAGGGUGACCGGCCACACUGGGACUGAGACACGGCCCAGACUCCUACGGGAGGCAGCAGUGGGGAAUAUUGCACAAUGGGCGAAAGCCUGAUGCAGCAACGCCGCGUGAGGGACGACGGCCUUCGGGUUGUAAACCUCUUUUAGUAGGGAAGAAGCGAAAGUGACGGUACCUGCAGAAAAAGCACCGGCUAACUACGUGCCAGCAGCCGCCGUAACAC
rnacentral:rRNA from 1 species